rnacentral:rRNA from 1 species
CCUACGGGCGGCAGCAGUGAGGAAUAUUGGUCAAUGGACGAGAGUCUGAACCAGCCAAGUAGCGUGAAGGAUUACUGCCCUAUGGGUUGUAAACUUCUUUUAUAUGGGAAUAAAAUGUUCCACGUGUGGGAUUUUGUAUGUACCAUAUGAAUAAGGAUCGGCUAACUCCGUGCCAGCAGCCGCGGUAAUACGGAGGAUCCGAGCGUUAUCCGGAUUUAUUGGGUUUAAAGGGAGCGUAGGUGGAUUGUUAAGUCAGUUGUGAAAGUUUGCGGCUCAACCGUAAAAUUGCAGUUGAAACUGGCAGUCUUGAGUACAGUAGAGGUGGGCGGAAUUCGUGGUGUAGCGGUGAAAUGCUUAGAUAUCACGAAGAACUCCGAUUGCGAAGGCAGUUCACUGGACUGCAACUGACACUGAGGCUCGAAAGUGGGGGUAUCAAACAGGAUUAGAUACCCCGGUAGUC